UGCAAAUUUGAGGUGCUACAGCUGCCCCUAUUCAAUCAACUGGGAACCCGAAUGGCUGAGAGCAACGGCUGUCAGACUUUCAGGGUAAACAGGGAUUGAAUACCAAGAACCGUAGAAAUUUGCACACUGCUGGGAUUUUUUUUUUGUUUUCUUUUUUCUUCAAAGGCAUAACCACAUCCAGACAUCGACACACGAUGAAUGGGAUCAGAAAUCAUCUCAACUAGAUGCCAACGGACAACUAGGAAAAACUCAACGUUUACCAAGACCAACGGAGAGGUAAAUCCACAUGGGGACAGGUACAACUAGACGUCAUAGGACGAAUAGGGAAAAACUCAGCGUUUACCAAGACCAACGGAGAGGUAACCAAUCAUUAUUGAAUGACUGGAAGGAUAAUGAUACAAC
rnacentral:lncRNA from 1 species